rnacentral:rRNA from 1 species
UGCCAGCCGCCGCGGUAAGACGGAGGGUGCAAGCGUUAUCCGAAUUCACUGGGUUUAAAGGGUACGUAGGCGGUCUUGUAAGUCGAUGGUGAAAACUAGCAGCUCAACCGUGGAAGUGCAUUUGAAACUGGAUGGCUUGAGUACUGGAGGGGGUGGUGGAAUUUCAAGUGUAGCGGUGAAAUGCGUAGAUAUUUGAAGGAACACCAGUGGCGAAGGCGACUUCCUGGGCCAAUACUGACGCUGAGGUGCGAAAGCGUGGGGAGCGAACAGGAUUAGAUA